CGGCAGAGUGCGGCGCAGCGCAGCUCCUGAGGCUUCCAGGAGCCAGGAUCUCCGGUGACUGGAGCCGUAGGACAAAAUGGCGCUCGCAUAGGCUUCCGAGGCCAGGCCCAGUCGUGCGCUCUGAGGUUUUGGUUAUGAACAGGAUUCGGAUUCACGUCUUGCCAACCAAUCGGGGGAGGAUCACUCCAGUGCCCAGGUCUCAGGAACCUCUGUCUUGUGCAUUCACUCAUCGUCCAUGCUCUCACCCUCGUCUGGAGGGGCAGGAGUUUUGCAUUAAGCAUAUCCUUGAAGACAAGAAUGCACCCUUCAAGCAGUGUAGUUAUAUAUCGACGAAGAAUGGAAA
rnacentral:lncRNA from 1 species